rnacentral:rRNA from 1 species
UUAAAUUGAAGAGUUUGAUCAUGGCUCAGAUUGAACGCUGGCGGCAGGCCUAACACAUGCAAGUCGAACGGUAACAGGAAGAAGCUUGCUUCUUUGCUGACGAGUGGCGGACGGGUGAGUAAUGUCUGGGAAACUGCCUGAUGGAGGGGGAUAACUACUGGAAACGGUAGCUAAUACCGCAUAACGUCGCAAGACCAAAGAGGGGGACCUUCGGGCCUCUUGCCAUCGGAUGUGCCCAGAUGGGAUUAGCUUGUAGGUGGGGUAACGGCUCACCUAGGCGACGAUCCCUAGCUGG